UACGUAGGUGGCAAGCGUUGUCCGGAAUUAUUGGGCGUAAAGCGCGCGCAGGCGGUCCUUUAAGUCUGAUGUGAAAGCCCACGGCUCAACCGGGGAGGGUCAUUGGAAACUGGGAAACUUGAGUGCAGAAGAGGAAAGUGGAAUUCCAAGUGUAGCGGUGAAAUGCGUAGAGAUUUGGAGGAACACCAGUGGCGAAGGCGACUUUCUGGUCUGUAACUGACGCUGAGGCGCGAAAGCGUGGGGAGCAAACAGG
rnacentral:rRNA from 1 species